AAAUUGAAGAGUUUGAUCAUGGCUCAGAUUGAACGCUGGCGGCAGGCCUAACACAUGCAAGUCGAGCGGUAGCACAGAGAGCUUGCUCUCGGGUGACGAGCGGCGGACGGGUGAGUAAUGUCUGGGAAACUGCCUGAUGGAGGGGGAUAACUACUGGAAACGGUAGCUAAUACCGCAUAACGUCGCAAGACCAAAGUGGGGGACCUUCGGGCCUCAUGCCAUCAGAUGUGCCCAGAUGGGAUUAGCUAGUAGGUGGGGUAACGGCUCACCUAGGCGACGAUCCUAGCUGGUCUGAGAGGAUGACCAGCCACACUGGAACUGAGACACGGUCCAGACUCCUACGGGAGGCAGCAGUGGGAAUAUUGCACAAUGGGCGCAAGCCUGAUGCAGCCAUGCCGCGUGUGUGAAGAAGGCCUUCGGGUUGUAAAGCACUUUCAGCGGGGAGGAAGGCGUUAAGGUUAAUAACCUUGGCGAUUGACGUUACCCGCAGAAGAAGCACCGGCUAACUCCGUGCCAGCAGCCGCGGUAAUACGGAGGGUGCAAGCGUUAAUCGGAAUUACUGGGCGUAAAGCGCACGCAGGCGGUCUGUCAAGUCGGAUGUGAAAUCCCCGGGCUCAACCUGGGAACUGCAUUCGAAACUGGCAGGCUAGAGUCUUGUAGAGGGGGUAGAAUUCGAGUGUAGCGGUGAAAUGCGUAGAGAUCUGGAGGAAUACCGGUGGCGAAGGCGGCCCCCUGGACAAAGACUGACGCUCAGGUGCGAAAGCGUGGGGAGCAAACAGGAUUAGAUACCCUGGUAGUCCACGCCGUAAACGAUGUCGAUUUGGAGGUUGUGCCCUUGAGGCGUGGCUUCCGGAGCUAACGCGUUAAAUCGACCGCCUGGGGAGUACGGCCGCAAGGUUAAAACUCAAAUGAAUUGACGGGGGCCCGCACAAGCGGUGGAGCAUGUGGUUUAAUUCGAUGCAACGCGAAGAACCUUACCUGGUCUUGACAUCCACAGAACUUUCCAGAGAUGGAUUGGUGCCUUCGGGAACUGUGAGACAGGUGCUGCAUGGCUGUCGUCAGCUCGUGUUGUGAAAUGUUGGGUUAAGUCCCGCAACGAGCGCAACCCUUAUCCUUUGUUGCCAGCGGUUCGGCCGGGAACUCAAAGGAGACUGCCAGUGAUAAACUGGAGGAAGGUGGGGAUGACGUCAAGUCAUCAUGGCCCUUACGACCAGGGCUACACACGUGCUACAAUGGCAUAUACAAAGAGAAGCGACCUCGCGAGAGCAAGCGGACCUCAUAAAGUAUGUCGUAGUCCGGAUUGGAGUCUGCAACUCGACUCCAUGAAGUCGGAAUCGCUAGUAAUCGUAGAUCAGAAUGCUACGGUGAAUACGUUCCCGGGCCUUGUACACACCGCCCGUCACACCAUGGGAGUGGGUUGCAAAAGAAGUAGGUAGCUUAACCUUCGGGAGGGCGCUUACCACUUUGUGAUUCAUGACUGGGGUGAAGUCGUAACAAGGUAACCGUAGGGGAACCUGCGGUUGGAUCACCUCCUUA
rnacentral:rRNA from 1 species